rnacentral:tRNA from 1 species
GCCGAUGUAGCUCAGUUUGGUAGAGCACGUGAUUUGUAAUCUCGUUGUCGUGGGUUCGAUCCCCUCCAUCGGCU